UGAAACACCGGUUCCCUUACGAUCAGCAAAGUUAAGCAAAGUUGAACCUAGUUAGUAACUAGAUUGGUGACCGCUUGGAAAUACCAGGUAU